CCGCUCAGGCCCCCGCCGCCGCCCCUACUCCGCUGCUGCCCGGGGCCGCUGUCAAGAUGGAGCCCGAGAACAAGUACCUGCCCGAGCUGAUGGCCGAGAAGGACAGCCUCGACCCGUCCUUCACGCACGCCAUGCAGCUCCUCACAGCAGAAAUUGAAAAAAUUCAGAAGGGUGAAACAACAAAGAAGGAUGAGGAAGAGAACUACCUGGAUUUAUUUUCCCACAAGAAUAUGAAACUGAAAGAACGAGUUCUGAUACCUGUCAAACAGUACCCCAAGUUCAACUUUGUUGGAAAGAUUUUGGGACCUCAAGGCAACACCAUCAAGAGACUUCAGGAAGAAACUGGUGCUAAGAUAUCUGUGCUUGGGAAGGGUUCAAUGCGAGAUAAAGCAAAGGAGGAAGAACUGCGUAAAGGGGGAGAUCCUAAAUAUGCUCAUCUAAAUAUGGAUUUGCAUGUCUUCAUUGAAGUUUUUGGACCCCCUUGUGAAGCGUAUGCUCUGAUGGCUCAUGCCAUGGAAGAAGUCAAGAAGUUCCUCGUUCCGGAUAUGAUGGAUGAUAUCUGUCAGGAGCAAUUCUUGGAGCUCUCCUAUCUGAAUGGCGUACCAGAGCCAACUCGUGGCCGAGGAGUCCCUGUGCGGGGAAGGGGAGCAGCUCCACCACCGCCUCCACCUGUUCCAAGGGGGCGUGGUGUUGGUCCUCCCCCUCCUCCUCCUCCUCCUCGGGGGGCCCUUGUGCGAGGAGCCCCGGUUCGGGGUGCCAUUGCUAGGGGAGCUGCUGUAGCCCGCGGAGUACCUCCUCCCCCAGCAGUACGGGGUGCUCCCGCACCCAGAGCGCGUGCAGCCGGAAUUCAGAGAAUACCGCUUCCUCCUCCUCCUGCACCAGAAACCUAUGAGGAAUAUGGCUAUGAUGAUGCAUAUGCAGACCAGAGCUAUGAGGGGUAUGAAGGCUACUACAGCCAGGGCCAAGGGGACACAGAAUACUAUGAUUAUGGACACGGGGAGGCACAGGAAACCUAUGAAGCUUAUGGGCAAGAUGACUGGAACGGAACCAGGCCCUCCCUGAAGGCCCCGCCGGCCAGGCCAGUGAAGGGGGCCUACAGAGAGCACCCAUACGGACGUUAUUAAAAAACAAACAUGAGGGAAAAAUAUCAGUUAUGAGCAAACAGUUGUUACUGAUUCUUGUAUCUCCCGGGAUUCCCGUUGCUUUACCCACACCAGACAAGUAAUUGUCUAACUGUUUUUCUUCGUGGCCCUUUUUCUCCCACUCCAUCCUCACCCUGCAUUCUGGCUUCUGAGUCAAGAGUACAUCGCUGUGAAUCACUUGGGUGAAGAUGAGCAGGGGCAACAAGAAGUGGGUAAGUUUGUUUAUUUUUGCAACCCGUUGCAAGUUACUAACAUGUUUUGUGUGGGAGGGGGGGGGCGGCACCAUCUGAGCUGCUAAAUUGAAGCCAUUCUUUAUAUACCCACAAAUAAAUUACUCUUGUGAAAGGCCAGUUACAUGACUGACACUCUUGCAGAGGUCAUGGUGUGGAGGAGGCUUCGGUAUGUACCUGCCUAGAGUUCUCCCACCGAGAUCCCAUGCAGAAGGAGGUUUAAGUGGAUUUGAGGAGAGAGGGAAACGUAAGGAGAUCUGUCUCUGGGAGCUGAUUCCCGGCUGAGAUGCUGGCCUUCGUGGGAGCACUCUGGGCAGCAGGGUAGCGAUGAAGUUGUUGUUACCCCCUGCUCUAGAAAGAGAGCAGCUCAAGGAACGGCUCAGUAGGAAUUCCUAUAGGAGUCCAUGAUGCAUCAAAAUUAUUUGCAGAUUUUAGACCAGAUGCUGCCCAGCUAGGCCUUGCUAGUUCUACCCCUUCCACCCCCAUCGAUGGGCUCUGAAGUGUGAUCUGCCUGCUGGCUGUUCUUUUUUUUUUAUGGCUUUUUGUCUGAUGUCAUUGCUGGAGACAGCUCGGGCAGCGGUCCUGCCAGCCCGGCUGGGACACGUUCAGCUCGGAGCCCCGCAGGGCUGCACGCCUGGCAUCAGCGAGCGAACACCCUGAGCCCCCGGGAGGGGUGAUGGACCCCCAGCACCUUUGGGUGCUGGUGGGGAUCAGCACCCACAGUGGCGGGGCUCCCUCUGGUGGCUGCUCUGGCCCCACUGACGUGCUCGUUCUCCAAUAAAUACCUUCACAAAUGCACGCCGGUGCUUGCCAAACCGAGUGGUACCUUGGCUGGGGAGAUAAUCACGCAUCAGUGGAGUGACCUGCUUACACAGCAAGGACACAUCUCCCCCCAGGCCCAAAGGCAGCAGCCGUAAGCGUUUCCUUUGGGGACGGCUAAUCGCUUUCUCUCAAAUCUCGAGAUCACUGAAAGUCUGAGCUCCAUAAAUAAAAGAACAAAGAAAUAAACCCUUGCAAUGCUGAAGGAGUCUAAUGGCUUCAAAAGACAACUGUGAAAAGCCCUGGGCAUAGGACAUUGAAGGACAUAAUUCUCAUUUUAUAUGGAAUUGUAAAGCUACCAAACGAGCUUCUCUUAUCUUAGGAGUAUUGGGAACAAGAAAGCGGUGAUAUGUGGAAAUGCUGCAACAGAGUGAGAUUGCCCUCAAUUCUUUGACUUUCGCUUGAAAAUUGGAUCCAUAGUUUUCUGCUAGGGAAAUCAUAACAUGUCUGGAUUUGUGGCCUGUUUAUCAAAUGCAUCUUCAUUUACAAUGUAAUUGAAACAUCAAUUUAUACGGUGUUGUACCAAUCUUUCCCAUUUCUUUCUUAAUAGGCACAGCUUUUAUAUCAAGUGGAAAAGAUUUGAUAGAGAUCAUCUAUUAUGAUGCAGUUUUUUACCAGUAGAAGUGGAUCUUGUGACACUGCCUUUGGAGUAAUACAGCUUGCUUGUGCAUUGCAUUUGUUGCAUGUUUAUGUGAAAGAUUUUAAUGUUAUGGAGGAAUGUAAAUCUUAAUAUAUUGAAAUAACUGUAUAUGCUAAAAGUAUUUUGAAAUCAUGCCCUGCAUCAAACAUCUUCCUCCCUCUCAUAGCAUUACUACAUUCAGAUUUUAGCCUAGAGUCUGCAAAAGCUAAUUUGAGAUCCCAAAAUAGCCAUCAGCAUCGGAUGUGUCUCUCAAAGAUGCUCUAAUUAGCCAGACGUUCCGGGGGUGAUACAGGACUUGCUGAAAUUUGUGAGGGGUAGAGAUUCCUUUGAGUACUGAAGUCUGAGUCACCUAAAUAACCUUCCCUUUUAUACUGGCAUGUAGCCACUGGAGGUGGUAUUCUGCUGGCUGUGAGCUAACAACCGCCAGUGAUCUUUCAUCCCCCGAUUUCCCCAAAGGACUAAUCCACAUCUUAUUAUUUGUAGGAUUUUGGUAAAGGCCAUAAUCAAGAUAAAGGCCUCCAUUGUGCUUGGUACUGUACAGUGUGAUAUACAGCAGCAGUCACGUCUCCUCUGUGGAAGUGUUUCCCAACAAUACUGUUCUUUUCAAGAGAAGCUUGGCUCUAGAAACAUCUUCCUGCUGCAGAGUGCUCUGUGUCCCAGCAGUCCCAUCUUCUCUGGCCCUUGCUCUGAGUGGCCACAGCUUCUUCAGCCUCUAGUCCAGCCCUUUGGUAUAAAUACUCCGGCUGGCCUUGCUUGGAGCUGGUACAAACCUGGACUUUACACUUCCCCGGUGAGGUCUCACCAUGCAUAGCAGUUCAUAGCCGGUAUCUUGGACAGCAACAGGAGUGUGAAACUGAGCUUGCAGGAAAAACACUCCAACUGGUAUUGCAGAGAUAUCCCCAGCAGCUUUUCCUGGAAAGAGACUGUCAUACCCUGCCUGUUCCUUAACCCUGGUUUCAAGUUGCUGUUCGGAUUAUUAAAUAAAGCAAAUGGCUACAGGCUUUGUUUUAUAACUUACCUAUGGUAUUUUUAUGUUUAACUUAAAACACUGUGCUUUCAGUAAGGCAAAGACAUUACCUUGAUAGGGCCCUCUGUAAAAUUCCCUAUUUGGUAAGUUGGGUUUAAGAGCACAGCUGGAUUCCCUGUUCGGCUGUUAAAGCAGAUGAUUCUUUUUGUACAGAAUGAGUUUUUAAAUUUGUAUGAGAGCAUCUGUCACAAACAGAGCCAAGAAAAACAAUUUAAAUGUGCAUGUCUUCCCUUCCUCAACCCAUGCCGCUGCUCUCCUAAAGAACACUUGGGCAGAGGGUGAUUCCUGCAGCCUGUGAUAGACCCUCCAAAUGGCCCCAGAGGAGGAGAGACCAGCUGUGACCCGUCUGCUGGGAGAUGCAGAGGAGAACAGGCGGUGUUGCAAACACAGCUCUUCUCUCAGCUGCGAGGAACAAGUACAUAUGGUGCUUUUGGGGAGGAAGACAGGGCUUAGGGAAAUUCUUCUUUAAUUGAUAAACCUAUAACAUCUUGGAUGAGAUGUUGGACACAUGCCCCAUUUGUAAGCUUUGAGGGGGAGGAAUUUCUGCAGGCUAGUCAGGGCCCAUGGGAACUCCCAUCUCGAAUGUAGAUGUUACUCCUCUUUUUCUACUCAGGAAGCUCAGUUCCUUUGAGCACAGAACAGAAACCUUUGCUGUUAUUGCUCAGUUGAGCCUUCCAUUGCUACCAUAUGUUUUAAUAGAAAUGUUUGUUUCCAUGCUCAUUUUGCUCCUUUUGCAAAGUGGGAUGAAUCUCCGACGAGCUGAUUUCAGAUCUGAUAAAGGAGCACCGCUGAGAUGCCGUUCGCUUUACUGUGGCUGGGAAAUAGGAACCUGCCAGCUCUUGGUGAGUGUUGGAGAACACCGGAGCCUCCCUUGGCUGCCGCAACCCCUGGAGAGCAGCAACUGUGUGUUGGAGUACUGAAAUAUAAAGUGUUUUCCAACGAAGCUGUUACUUUUACCGCUGGCUUUAGAACCAAAUACGACCAAAGGCUUGUACGCGCUGUUACAGAUGCAAACCUGUUUUUAACCUGACAUCGGUGCCUCCUACCUGUUACCUUUAUGGUUGUUCCUGGAAGACUUUGUUAAAACCGCAGGUGUCUGGAUACUCCUGGUUUUUGAUGGCUCUGCACAAUGUAGGUUUCAAAACCAGUAAGAAAUGAAAGAUUGGCCCUGUGAAAGUUCAUUAAUGUUAGAGCUGGUUUUGCCUCCAGCCUAGGCAGGGGUGGUUCUCCGGAUUGUAUAAUGCUCCAUCUGUACUGAAGCAUCA